UACCAUGGUUUUAACGGGUAACGGGGAAUUAGGGUUCGAUUCCGGAGAGGGAGCCUGAGAAACGGCUACCACAUCCAAGGAAGGCAGCAGGCGCGCAAAUUACCCAAUCCCGACACGGGGAGGUAGUGACAAUAAAUAACAAUAUGGGGCUCUUACGAGUCUUGUAAUUGGAAUGAGUACAAUUUAAAUCUCUUAACGAGGAACAAUUGGAGGGCAAGUCUGGUGCCAGCAGCCGCGGUAAUUCCAGCUCCAAUAGCGUAUAUUAAAGUUGUUGCAGUUAAAAAGCUCGUAGUUGAAUUUCGGGAUUUAUCCGUCGGUCGGGCUUUUGGGUUUGUACUGGCGUGAUGGAUUCCUACCUUCUGAAUAACCGGCAUGUCAUUAAUUUGGUGCGCCGGGGAAGCAGGACUGUUACCUUGAAAAAAUUAGAGUGCUUAAAGCAGGCUUAUGCCUGAAUACAUUAGCAUGGAAUAAUGAAAUAGGACGGCAUGGUUCUAUUUUGUUGGUUUCUAGGAUCACCGUAAUGAUUAAUAGGGAUAGUUGGGGGCAUUAGUAUUCAAUUGUCAGAGGUGAAAUUCUUGGAUUUAUUGAAGACUAACUUCUGCGAAAGCAUUUGCCAAGGAUGUUUUCAUUAAUCAAGAACGAAAGUUAGGGGAUCGAAGACGAUCAGAUACCGUCGUAGUCUUAACCAUAAACUAUGCCGACUAGGGAUCGGACGAUGUUAAUUUUUUAAUGACUCGUUCGGCGCCUUACGGGAAACCAAAGUGUUU
rnacentral:rRNA from 1 species